rnacentral:rRNA from 1 species
GACGAACGCUGGCGGCGUGCUUAACACAUGCAAGUCGAACGAUGAAGCCGGAGCUUGCUCUGGUGAAUUAGUGGCGAACGAGUGAGUAACACGUGGGUAACCUGCCCAUAAGACUGGGAUAACUCCGGGAAACCGGGGCUAAUACCGGAUAACAUUUUGAACCGCAUGGUUCGAAAUUGAAAGGCGGCUUCGGCUGUCACUUAUGGAUGGACCCGCGUCGCAUUAGCUAGUUGGUGAGGUAACGGCUCACCAAGGCAACGAUGCGUAGCCGACCUGAGAGGGUGAUCGGCCACACUGGGACUGGGACACGGCCCAGACUCCUACGGGAGGCAGCAGUAGGGAAUCUUCCGCAAUGGACGAAAGUCUGACGGAGCAACGCCGCGUGAGUGAUGAAGGCUUUCGGGUCGUAAAACUCUGUUGUUAGGGAAGAACAAGUGCUAGUUGAAUAAGCUGGCACCUUGACGGUACCUAACCAGAAAGCCACGGCUAACUACCUGCCAGCCGCCGCAGUAA